GCCUUCGUGGUGUAGUGGUCAGCACGCUCGACGCGUAUUCGAUAGGUCCGUGGUUCAAGUCCCAGCGAGAGGCU
rfam:Stegodyphus mimosarum contig47603, whole genome shotgun sequence.